GAAUGUCGUGCACCGGUAGUGCGAUUGCCUGCGACGCAAAAGGUUCCGGGUUCGAAUCCCGGGGGGUUCU